UUUUCCCUCUCCCAGAGCUGAAGAUCGACGGGAAGAGAAAGAAAACAAUAUAUGAUGCAAGACAGAGUCAGUAAAUAUAAAACCUAAAUCUCCCAGCAUUUCUUUUGCAUUGUUAUAUUGUUUAAAAUUCACUUUGUUUUCUGUUUUCGAGACCAUACACAUAUUUUCAUAUUUACAUGGCAAAUCCCACUCUAAGUAUCAUCCAUGAGCCUAAAGCUUUCACAACACAGCACAGCGUCCCUCAGGGAUAUUUUACUCCAGGUCUCAGCAAAGGCCAGCUGUCACUGUAAACUGAGCCGGGUGGACCCUCGCGAACAGCUCAGCCUCUGCCCAGCUGCCGCCUUGGGAUCUUAUCAGCCACGGGACCAUGCAGCUCAGACAAUCUGGACCUGCAUAUCUCCUAGCACAGACUGAUGUGAGGGAAUUACUGCCAGAGGACACUGAACACAUACGAUCGAGAUGCUGCCGUGAAGAGAUUCAAGGCUAUUUCCAGCUCAUUGCGGGCGGCUGUCCUUCCUGGUUUGAUCCCCAAGGCAACCGAUGUGGUCAUUCCUUCCAGAAAAUGGAGAGCGAUGUAACCAAACACCAACAGGGGCCUCAGAAAAAAAAAACAGUGUGUCUGCGUGUGUGUGAGUAGGUGGACAUUAUGGUUGAAAAGGGGAAA